UCACCCCUGCUGUUAAUGCUUCUGGAUCUUCACUUACACCGUUGUUUCUGCCUGAGUGUUUGUCUCACUUUCUUCCAUGAGGUCUCUUGACUUCGUGGCUCAAAGGUGUUCUAUUUGGAGUAUUCAGAGUUUCAGACAUCCACACUCACAGGAGAAUGCGCCUGCUGACGUCUUUCAUCAUCCUGUCCCUCUCCAGACAUAGAUUCUCAGUGUAGCAGCAGUGACCCUGCUGAUAGUAAUUUACAGACUUUUCUGUAGUUAGGAUUCUGCCUGUGACCUAGACAUGCCUUCUGAGACCUGGAUGAAAAAAUGCAGGUAGUGGAUGAGGGUCGAAGGCAGAGCUGGAUGGAGGAAAUCUGAGGACUCUCUUUUCCUCCACCUCACCUCAUGUUCUUGAAUCUCUUGCUCUGAGAAAAGCCAACUGCCAUGCUGUGAGCUACAUUCUAGAGUGACCCACGUGCCACGGAACUGAAGCUUCCAGCCAGUAGCCAGUGAGGAGCUGAGAUCUAUCAACAAUCAUGAGAAUGAACCUGGGGGCAAAAUCUUCAGCCUCAGCCAGUCCUAAUGGUCACAGUAGCCUGGGCUUUCAGUGUAACUAGCAUUUUGUGAGAGACCCUAAGUUGCUUUAAGAUUCCUGACAGCCUGAAAGUCUGAGAUAAUAAAUGUUAAUUUUUUAAU